CCUACGGGUGGCUGCAGUAAGGAAUAUUGGUCAAUGGACGAAAGUCUGAACCAGCCAUGCCGCGUGGAGGAUGAAGGUCCUCUGGAUUGUAAACUUCUUUUAUAUGGGACGAAAAAAGGCCUUUCUAGGCCGUCUGACGGUACCAUAUGAAUAAGCACCGGCUAACUCCGUGCAAGCAGCCGCGGUCAUACGGAGGGUGCAAGCGUUAUCCGGAUUCACUGGGGUUUAGGUGGGUGGAUAUGGCAUGGUAGAAAUCUCCGAGCUUAACUUGGAAACUGCCAUUGAUACUAUUAAUCUUGAAUAUUGUGGAGGUUAGCGGAAUAUGUCAUGUAGCGGUGAAAUGCUUAGAUAUGACAUAGAACACCAAUUGCGAAGGCAGCUGGCUACACAUAUAUUGACACUGAGGCACGAAAGCGUGGGGAUCAAACAGGAUUAGAUACCCUGGUAGUC
rnacentral:rRNA from 1 species